rnacentral:misc_RNA from 1 species
GAUGAAGAACGUAGCGAAAUGCGAUAAGUAAUGUGAAUUGCAGAAUUCAGUGAAUCAUCGAAUCUUUGAACGCAUCUUGCGCUCCUUGGUAUUCUGAGGAGCAUGCCUGUUUGAGUGUCAUUAAAUUCUCAACUACACUGACUUUGAAUUGGUGUGGCUUGGAUUUGGGGGGAAAAUUGUUGUGGGCUUUUUGUAUAGUCUGCUCCCCUGAAAUUGAUUAGCGGUACCUUUGUGGAACUGUCUACAGGUGUGAUAAUUAUCUACAUCUUAGACAUCUGCUGGAAUGCUGCUUUCUAAACCUUACUUGUAUUGACAAUCUUGACCUCAAAUCAGGUAGGACUACCCGCUGAACUUAAGCAUAUCAAUAAGCGGAGA